GAGGGAGCUGUAGAGCAGGGAGCAGGGCAGGGAGCUGUGUGUGUCCAGCCCUGACCUGUCCUGCUCUGCCCCCAGCCCCU
rnacentral:miRNA from 1 species